AUUGAACGCUGGCGGCAGGCCUAACACAUGCAAGUCGAGCGGAGCGGCGGACGGGUGAGUAAUGCCUAGGACUCUGCCUGGUCGCGGGGGAUAACGUCCGGAAACGGGCGCUAAUCCCGCAUACUAUCAGAUGAGCCUAGGUGGGUUUAGCUAGUUGGUGGGGUAAAGGCCUACCAAGGCGACGAUCCGUAACUGGUCUGAGAGGAUGAUCAGCCACACGGGAACUGAGACACGGUCCAGACUCCUACGGGAGGCAGCAGUGGGGAAUAUGGAACAAGGGGCGAAAGCCUGAUACAGCCAGGCAGCGUGUGAGAAGAAGGUUUUCGGAGUGUAAAGACCUGUAAGUUGGGAGGCGGUACCAACAGAAUAAGCACCGGCUAACUACGUGCCAGCAGCCGCGGUAAUUC
rnacentral:rRNA from 1 species